UCUGGGACUUGUAGUGUAGAGGGACUAUGGGAGCUGUAGGUCUCAUAGCAAUGCAUCUGAUGUGUGGGUGUGUGUAAGUAAGAUAAUUGGUAGACCUACCUGGGGGGUGUCUACCUGCAUGGAGAAGGACUUGCAGUUGGAUCUCUCCAGGCAAAGGGCCUGAGAGGGGUUUUGGAUGAGACUUAGAAGAGCAGCCAAAAUGCUUGGAAAAGCAUCUAUGGAAAGGUGUUUUCAGAUAGUAACUCAAGACUGAUGAGAGGAUUGGAGAAAGGAGACACCACUAAAGGGCUUUGGAAGAAGAACUGCUUGUGAGCUCUCGUGCUGAUGGGUGAAGGCUUGUUUGUUUCUAUGACUACUUAUGAACGCUUGGGCCAAGGGGUGUGUCAGAGGCCCUUUCCUGAGGGGUGGAUGUGCUUGGACUUUCACUGGACUUUUCAUUACCCAGAAGCAAAGGAGUUUUGGCUUUGGCUAGAGGACUAAACUACCUUGUCUGGAGGAGUGAAACUGAAGCAGUGGUCCCUCCUGAUGACAGAAGACCUCGAUUUUGAUUGGAGAAGACACAUGCCACUGCUUCCGGGAGCUGCUUGAGUGACUACUAGUCUCUCUGCAAACAAGGGAUCUGGUGCUGCUACCAUUGAAACCAAUAAACAUUUAGCUACAAAUUUCCAAAGGGAACAGUACCCAGACCAAGAAAACUUAGAUGAAGAGAAGUCUCAUGUACAACACCAGUCUUGCAGCUGUUCUUUUCAUCUGCCUGGUCCACCAGUCUCUGUCUUUUCUAAAGAAUUCUUUGACAAACUCUAGAAAUUGUACCCUGUAUGAAGAAAAGAGAAGCUUCCAACAAUGGCUUGUAGAAUCCUACAAACUAAACUACUGAAAACUGAGUUGUUCCCCCUCUCCCAUCUGAAAUCGGCUUGUUACUCUUUUGGUUUUCCAUGCUAACUUUGUCAAGACUUUCUAACAGGACCUUCAUUUAACUACUUUGUAUUAAAUGAAAGGGGUACACUUUUACAGUGCCUUUAAUUAAAUCCAGGCUAAGAGCAAAUCUCUUUGCCUAUCAAAUGCAGUUUCUUGCUGUGUUUUUUUUUUUUGCAUUCAUUUUGAGUUCCCUGUCAUGAAAGACGUUAAAGCAUCCAAAUUCAAAUGGAACUGCAUUCAACGCCAUUGAUGAUAAUUUUCCAUAAAGCUAUGGAGAAUUAAGAGGCACAUUUUAUUUAUUCAAGCAGGAGAGAAAGUAAUUAUAUUAAUCACGUAUUGUAUGUAAUAUCAGUUACAAUUUAGGAAAGAGUGAUUUUUUUGAGCUCCAAUGACAAUUGAUUUUUGUAAUAUUCCUACCAUAAAAUAUUAUUUCAUACAAUUUCAGGAUAUUUUAAAGUAAGCCUACAACUUCAGAGAAAAAAUACUA